CAAUAGCGUAUAUUUAAGUUGCUGCAGUUAAAAAGCUCGUAGUUGGAUUUCGGGUGGGAAUGGCCGGUCCGCCGUUUCGGUGUGCACUUGCUACGCCCACCUUGCUGCCGGGGACGUGCUCUUGAGUUCACGCUCGGGACACGGAGUCGGCGAGGUUACUUUGAGUAAAUUAGAGUGUUCAAAGCAGGCCUACGCUCUGAAUACAUUAGCAUGGAAUAACACGAUAGGACUCUGGCCUAUCUUGUUGGUCUGUAGGACCGGAGUAAUGAUUAAGAGGGACAGUCGUGGGCAUUCGUAUUUCAUUGUCAGAGGUGAAAUUCUUGGAUUUAUGAAAGACGAACUACUGCGAAAGCAUUUGCCAAGGAUGUUUUCAUUAA
rnacentral:rRNA from 1 species